AAGGGAGUAGUUUAAAAAUAAAAUUUAGGCUUUGGGAGCUUAGGAUAAGACUUAGUUUUCUCUCUUAAG
rnacentral:tRNA from 1 species